CAGCAGCCGCGGUAAUACGAAGGGUGCAAGCGUUAAUCGGAAUUACUGGGCGUAAAGGGUGCGUAGGCGGUGAGUUAAGUCUGUUGUGAAAUCCCCGGGCUCAACCUGGGAAUGGCAAUGGAUACUGGCUCGCUAGAGUGUGAUAGAGGAUGGUGGAAUUCCCGGUGUAGCGGUGAAAUGCGUAGAGAUGUGGAGGAACACCGAUGGCGAAGGCAGCCCCCUGGGCCAAUACUGACGCUCAUGCACGAAAGCGUGGGGAGCAAACAGGAUUAGAUACCCCCGUAGUCCCUGUCUCUUAUAC
rnacentral:rRNA from 1 species